AACGCGAAGAACCUUACCAAGUCUUGACAUACUGUGAGGACAGAAGAGAUUUUGUUGUUCUGACCUAUGGUUAGACACAGAUACAGGUGGUGCAUGGUUGUCGUCAGCUCGUGUCGUGAGAUGUUGGGUUAAGUCCCGCAACGAGCGCAACCCUUAUAUCUAGUUGCCAGCAGUAAGAUGGGGACUCUAGAUAGACUGCCAGUGAUAAACUGGAGGAAGGUGGGGACGACGUCAAGUCAUCAUGGCCCUUAUGGGUAGGGCUUCACACGUCAUACAAUGGCGCGUACAGAGGGUUGCGAAGCCGCGAGGCGGAGCCAAUCCCAGAAAGCGCGUCGUAGUCCGGAUUGCAGUCUGCAACUCGACUGCAUGAAGUCGGAAUCGCUAGUAAUCGCGAUCAGCAUG
rnacentral:rRNA from 1 species